GACUUGUUUGGAUACUCACCUCUAUAAAUGUGCCUAGGCCAUAUUGUGUGCAGGUCUUUAUCCCAAUGUAUCUGCCAGAGAAGAAGGCAUUGCUACAACUGCUCUUGGGAACCUAAAACAAAGUGCAGGUCUUUCAGCAAAGAGUAACCCUGCAUGGUAUGAUGGAAGACGCGAAGUUCACAUUCACCCUUCGUCAAUCAACUCUAACUUAAAAGAUUUUCAGUACCCAUUUAUCGUCUUUCUUGAAAAGGUAGAGACUAACAAGGUAUUUUUGCGAGACACCACCGUUAUCUCUCCUUAUACUAUACUUCUUUUUGGUGGCCCAAUAAACAUUCAGCACCAGACUGGAAGAGUUACCAUAGAUGGAUGGUUAGAAGUUGCAGCACCAGCACAAACAGCUGUUCUAUUUAAGGAACUCCGGCUAACUCUUCAUGAUAUUCUCAAGGAGCUUAUUCGUAAUCCUCAGGUUUCCCUGGUGACUGAUAAUGAAGUUCUCAGAUCUAUAGUCCAGUUGCUAUUGGAAGAAGAUAAACAAAGAAAAUAACCGCUUAGCCUUGGAUCGGGUGAUCAAUAUAUGCCCCUCACCUAGCAGAACACCUAGGAGCUCAACCUUUUCUACUAUUAGAAAAGGAAACUUGCUGAUUGAUGGACUAUCUGGACUCUGGUCCUGGAUCAGGUGGUGGACUUUCUGGUUGCUGAUCUCUCCUGGGUCAGGUGGAUAAAAGGAGUGGGACAUAAUUUGUUCUUUGGUUAAUGAAUUAUGAAUCAUCAUGCAUGAUGGGUCCUGCUACCCACCCUGCUAUGCUUUCAUAAUUAAUAUAGCAUUUGACAGAAAUCACAGAGAUCAAAUAUGUAUGUUUUUCCAAAAAGCUAAUGAAGGAACCAUGUAAACUGUAUCACCAAAAUGCAGCGUUUAAGGCAAUUGCUGCUGCAUUAUUGUUUUCCUAUGGUAAUUGACAUCUGAAUUGGUGCCCAGCUUUUGUUGAGAAAGCGUUAUGUCUCUUUCUUUGCAGUACCAACGGUGCCUUUAAUCUACUACUAAUUGAAGGAGAGAAAAUCAAUUUCCCUGUCACAAUCUUUCGUUCCAGUAACAGCCUCUUAACUAGCCUACUAUCAUGUAUGGACCACGUUGAAAUGCUUGUCUCAUUAAAUUGGCUUAUCAAAAUUUAUCACGCAAACACAAGUGAGCCGUUGACAAUUGUUUACUAUUUUGAGGGGACAAGUCUGGAUUGGUUGACUAGAGUUACCAUUCUUAAUCAUGUUAUUAAAAUGGUUCUUAUGUUUAAUAGUCCAUAGCUUUUUACACUAGCAUCAGGGAUUUUGCAGCUUAUAACA